rnacentral:rRNA from 1 species
CUACGGGGGGCUGCAGUUAGGUAUAAUCUACAAUGCGCGAAAGCGUGAUAGUUUGAGCCAGAGUGUCUUGCAAUUGCAAGACUUUUGUAAAAUGUAAAAAGUUUUUCGAAUAAGGACUGGGUAAGACGAGUGCCAGCCGCCGCGGUAAUACUCGCGGUCCAAGUCGCAGCCAUUUUUAUUGGGUCUAAAACAUCCGUAGCUUGCUAAUUAAGUCUCUUGUGAAAUCCUAUGUCUCAAGCAUGGGUCGGGCAAGAGGUACUGGUUAGCUAGAGACUGGAAGACGUAAGAAGUAUGCUCGAAGUAGUGGUAAAAUAUGUUAAUCUCGAGCAGACUCACAAUAGCGAAGGCAUCUUACGAGGACAGUUCUGACAGUAAGGGAUGAAGGCCGGGGGCGCAAAACGGAUUAGAUACCCUCGUAGUC